AAGACACACACACACACACAAAAGGAUACACAUCAAGCAAAGGAGAAAGACGAACCAACGCAGACGAUGAGAAGAGCGAAGAGAGGAUCAACGAUAAAGUAUGCGUAGUUUCGUGUGACUGUGUGACUGUAGUGGAGCUUGAAAGGAUGAGAACCACAGUGUGUGUGUGCGCGCUUGUACAGAAGGAAGAAGGAAAAAGGAACAGCAGCCAAGAACAGAGGUACUACUGAAUGGCCACACCGAAAAUGUCAGAUGCCUAGCGCCUUUUUUGUUCUUUCUGUUGUCUCUGUCUUCCUGAUGUUCUCCCCUCGCGUCUUUCUCUUGUCUAUGCCGCCGCCCCGCCUCGCCCCUUUUCUCUAUUCUCUUCAGUCAGCAAUAUCCUCGCGCUUCUCUCACCUUUACCCUUUUACUUGUUUGUUUUUCGUCAUUCUUCUGCAUGCCUCUCCACGGCUGCGCUUGCCUCCCUGUUCCUUCCUUUCUUCGCGCUGUUUCGGUGUUUACUUCUAUUGUGCAUCGUGGGCGUGUUCUCCGUGUUGGCUCCGCUCCCUCGCUAUCCUCCUCCCUUUUGGUCGUCGAACGAGGAAUCCUUAUAUAAAUCCUUGUCUGCCGCCUGCUGAGCGUGCGAAGACCUUUUCGGACCUCAUUGCCGGGCCAAGAAGUACGCGAAAAAAGAAACAAGAAGGGGUGAGGGAGGGGCAAAAUUGCUGACAGGCGAUCAUCACCGCAGCAGCUGAGACGAGCGUGAAUGUGGUUUUGCCUGUGAAUUCGGAGAUGAUUCUUUUCGUGCCUGUCUCUAUUUCUAUUUUCUUUUCCAUAUUUCUUUCCUCGAAUGGGCCGGUGAUGCGCGCGCCCCCAGUGAGAGAACUAGCGGAUGCCUUCCAGUUUUUGCGUGUUUUUGUUGCCUCCUUUCUCAUUUCGUUCUUCGCGCGCGCGUAAGCGUGAUUGUGAGUUUUUCUUUGCCUUUGCAUCUGUGAUACGCUCUUGCUUCAUGGGUUACUCCCGUUUUUUUUUUCGUUCUCUUCUGUCGUUCUCUCUCGAGGUCUCUGACGCUUCAUUGCACACCUGUCCACCGCCCUCUUCUCCCUCCCCUCUCUCCACAUCGGCCGUGUUCGAGGUUGCGCCUUGUUUCUUAUGCUUUUUUUUUGAAGCCGGUGCUCUUCCUUAUAUUCUGUGGGUUUCUUCCUGUUGUGUUCCCUCUGUUUUCCGGCUUGAUCCAUUCCCUUGUGACUCCUCCUUUGCUUCCCCCCUCUCUCUUGCUGUGUUGGCGGCUACUCGUGUCACGGCGAAACAAGUCAAGGGCAUGCUUCACAAGUAUCGAUAACAGCAACAGCGGAUAAGAAGGGAAAAGGGGCAUUUCUCUGCGAAAAAGGCAACAACAAAGAAAUAAAGUUGGAGUAGUCGACUAUGCAUGCCUGGUUAUAAGCGCACCUAUCUGCACCCCUCCCUGCGCCACUGCCUCUCUCCCCUUCCCUUCGAACACACGCACACCCACACCCACACCAG
rnacentral:misc_RNA from 1 species